UCCAGACUCCUACGGGAGGCAGCAGUGAGGAAUAUUGGUCAAUGGUCGGGAGACUGAACCAGCCAAGCCGCGUGAGGGAUGAAGGUACAGAGUAUCGUAAACCUCUUUUGUCAGGGAGCAAAGGCGGGGACGUGUCCCCGGAUGAGUGUACCUGAAGAAAAAGCAUCGGCUAACUCCGUGCCAGCAGCCGCGGUAAUACGGAGGAUGCGAGCGUUAUCCGGAUUUAUUGGGUUUAAAGGGUGCGUAGGCGGAUUUGUAAGUCAGCGGUAAAAAUGCGGUGCUCAACGCCGUAUCGCCGUUGAAACUGCAGGUCUUGAGUGAGCGAGAAGUAUGCGGAAUGCGUGGUGUAGCGGUGAAAUGCAUAGAUAUCACGCAGAACUCCGAUUGCGAAGGCAGCAUACCGGCGCUCAACUGACGCUGAGGCACGAAAGCGUGGGGAUCGAACAGGAUUAGAUACCCGAGUAAU
rnacentral:rRNA from 1 species